rnacentral:lncRNA from 1 species
AUAAGACAAUGUAAAACAAUUUAAACGAGAAAACUAACGGCCUUAUUUAUGUAAAAAAAUGAACAAAAAACAAAUAUGUAACACAUAAACAAAGGACAACCACUGAAUAUACAGGCUCCUGACUUGGGACAGGCACAUACAUAAAUAAUGCGGCGGGGUUUAACAUGUUAGCGGGAUCCCAACCCUCCCCUAACCUGGGACAGUGGUAUAACAGUACAACAUAAGAACG